rnacentral:rRNA from 1 species
GCGGCAGGCUACACAUGCAGUCGAGCGGAACGAGUUAUCUGAACCUUCGGGGAACGAUAACGGCGUCGAGCGGCGGACGGGUGAGUAAUGCCUAGGAAAUUGCCCUGAUGUGGGGGAUAACCAUUGGAAACGAUGGCUAAUACCGCAUAAUGCCUACGGGCCAAAGAGGGGGACCUUCGGGCCUCUCGCGUCAGGAUAUGCCUAGGUGGGAUUAGCUAGUUGGUGAGGUAAGGGCUCACCAAGGCAACGAUCCCUAGCUGGUCUGAGAGGAUGAUCAGCCACACUGGAACUGAGACACGGUCCAGACUCCUACGGGAGGCAGCAGUGGGGAAUAUUGCACAAUGGGCGCAAGCCUGAUGCAGCCAUGCCGCGUGUGUGAAGAAGGCCUUCGGGUUGUAAAGCACUUUCAGUCGUGAGGAAGAUGGUAGUGUUAAUAGCACUAUCAUUUGACGUUAGCGACAGAAGAAGCACCGGCUAACUCCGUGCCAGCAGCCGCGGUAAUACGGAGGGUGCGAGCGUUAAUCGGAAUUACUGGGCGUAAAGCGCAUGCAGGUGGUUUGUUAAGUCAGAUGUGAAAGCCCGGGGCUCAACCUCGGAAUAGCAUUUGAAACUGGCAGACUAGAGUACUGUAGAGGGGGGGUAGAAUUUCAGGUGUAGCGGUGAAAUGCGUAGAGAUCUGAAGGAAUACCGGUGGCGAAAGGCGGCCCCCUGGACAGAUACUGACACUCAGAUGCGAAAGCGUGGGGAGCAAACAGGAUUAGAUA